GGAGGUAGUGACGUGAAAUAACGAUGCGGGACUCUUCCGAGGCCUCGCAAUCGGAAUGAGUUAACUUUAAAUCCUUUCGACGAGGAUCGAUUGGAGGGCAAGUCUGGUGCCAGCAGCCGCGGUAAUUCCAGCUCCAAUAGCGUAUAUUAAAGUUGCUGCGGUUAAAAAGCUCGUAGUUCGAUCUCACGAUUCGAAAGGCGGAGGAAGCCGUAGUAGUCGAGGAAACCUCGAUCCACCUUCUCUAUCGCUUAUUCAUUUCGAUAGAAGGAUCGAAGAGGAUGAAGACGGCACGGGUUGAUUUUCUGACAGUGGUUGCGGAGGCGGUCGUUGUCAUUGGUGCUGCUGCUGCUGCUGUGGUGGUACGCUAGUGCCAAACGACCGUCGCCGCUUCCGCUUCUUCUACUUCGUUCAUCGUUGAUUCCCUCUUCGUUGCUUUAGCUUUUCCUUCUUCCCAAAGAAUGGAAAGUAGAGAGCGGUGGAAUGUCGAGAAUUCCCGGCGCGGCGUAACAAACACCACCCGUCCUUUUCGAUGAAAAACAAAGGCUGACCGGCCAGCGGCGUAGUAGUAGUAGUAGUAGUAGUAGUAGCUACAGCGGCCUACCCGAAAGGAAUAAUGGUAAAUGGUGUUGUAUUAACAACACCUCUACCACCUUCGAAGGUGCUGGCUGGCUGGUGGCUCACCACGCACUAUUGCUCGCUCGCUCGCGUUCGGUCGGCAACUUCACUUUGACAAAAUUAGAGUGCUCAGAGCGGGCAAGAUCUGAAGCCCGAAUGGAGGUGCAUAGAAUGAUCUAAGAUGACCUCGCGAUCUAAACGUUUGUCGGUUUAUGGGGUCGCGAGGUAAUGAUUAAA
rnacentral:rRNA from 1 species